GUGACUGUUUCCUGGUUAUCAGCUAAGUACGGGCUCGUGUCUUUGAUAUAAACACUGAUUAGUUAUAUGAAUGAGAAUCUAUGAGAAGUGUUCAUUUAAAUAAAGAUACGAUGUUUAUGAUACCUUGAUCAGACUUUAAUAAAGAGUUAUUCUAUGUCUCUAUGUCAGUCUUCGCUGAAAAUGAAGAAAAUGAAAUUGGUAAUGUUUGUUUGUUACUUGACAUUUAUAAGUGCCUAUUUUUUCUCUGUGAAUGGUGUAUACAAAGAUCAAGGGGCUUCAAAAUCUAGAACAGAAAUGGAAAUAGACAGUGGCUGCACUGAAAAAUGGUGUGAAACAUACAGCUUUUCUGAGUUAGAGAGAAUGUACAGAGGUUUAUUUUUGUCAGAAUUAGAGUUCGUUUUGCAACAGUUGCUAUUUUACCUGGAUAGAGAUAUAAUUCUGUAUCGUGAAGGGGUCAGAGACUUUGACUACAUUGUUGGAUCUGACGGCGAUGGUGAUUCUUGUUGUGUAACGAAGCAAAUUGCUUAUCGAAACUAUUCACUGCAAAAUGUGAUGGGUGUGACACGACGCGUUGUUCAUCUUACCCAUCCAAAUCCCAGGAAAAACAAGUACCAGUACAUAACACAGGCAACAUGCAUUGGAGUCGGCUCAUGUGAUGGCAUAUGUGUUUUGGAGGAUACUGUGAGAACAGUCCUUGUGUACGACAGACGAUCAGUUACAUUUGAUCAGGUUUUAGUACCGAGCUAUUGUUCGUGCAAAAGAGCAGACAAUAAAAAAUGAUCACAAUGUGUAAGUUUAUGGUGGAGAAAAAAGAACUUGGGUUAAGCAUUGAAUGAUCAAAUGUGACGCAGAAAUAAAAUGAUGAAACUUUAUUACAAACCUGAAUUCAUUCAACAAACGUAGAAGACGCGACAGUGACAAUUUUGCAUCCCGCAUUGUACGAAAGGUUUUAUGCUAGGCAAAUGCAUAACAUUUAUGUUAUAGUCAAUCACAGUACAGUAUGAUGUAUAACAUAACUUGAUAUCAGAUAUGAAUUCGAAUGGCCGUUCUUAAAAUAACGGAGUGAUAGCUUAUAGCAGAAGAUAAAUAUGAUAUCAAUCUUAUAUAAUUACGCAUUAAUCAAGCAAUGUUUGAGAAAAAAAAAUGAAAUUGUAUGUUGUAGAAAAUAACCAGAAGAUCUAAAUCUACUAGCAUUUCGCUUCUAAAUCACAUGUUUAAUGAACAAAAAACUAAGAUAAGAAAGGAAUACGUACAUACAAAUGCUAUGCUUUCGAAAGCCGCAUAAACGAAACUGGUGGUAGCCGUAUGAAUCGAACUUCGUGGCUAUUAGGGAACAACUUAAUACCAAAUUUAUCAUUUAACAAAAUAUAAAGUACAUUUCAUUACUUAUAUAUAGGCCGUAAGUAAACACACGUUAAAUGUUAUAGAUUCACAAUGCUUACAUUAAAUGGUAUUUCAAUGCGUCUUACAUGUAAGUACAUAAAACUCCACAAAAUCAGUGAUGCAUGCGAAAUACUCGAAUAACUGCAAAACCCUCCAUGACGCAACUGAAAAAAAAAACAUAUUUAGUGUUAGAUAAAGCAGUCAACCGACAUUCCUUAUUAUUGCGUCGCAAACCAUAUUUUGUCUUUAUAUUACAAAGAUAAGACUAUUUCUUAUGUCUAGCUAAAGUUAAAAAAAAAUUCUUUUGUUAAAGGCUCUAGCUAAAGUUAAAAAAAGAACGCUUUUGUUAAAGGCAGUUACUAAAUAAGUCAAUUAAUAUGCAGAUCUGAAUUGAAGAAUAAUUUUAUACUGGGAAUUCGUUAUUAUCAUACUAAGCCACAUCCUACAUUCAUUUGACAGUUUGAACACUGCGGAUAUAGAUACAACGUGAUUUUUGUUUAAUAAAUAACAUUUUCUCAUCAGCAUAGUUAAUGAUAAAACAUUAGUGAACGUUUGAAUUCAAUGUAGUGCAAUAAUUAAUGAUAUGUUCAAACAAAGAAUUCAAUAUGCACUAUUAAAUAAAGUGUUAAUCAUUACAUUGUAUUAUUAUUAUUUUUCUUGUUAUAAUAUCUGUAAGAAAAUCCUAUAGAAGCAUAGAACGUAACAAGUGAAAACAAUAACAAACUUUGUUUGUUUGAGUCUGUUCAAUGAGAAGUAAUAAAUUGUCCGCUCACAUCGGCUUAAGACGAAUUAUGCUAUUCAAAUGUGUUGAAUGCACUCCAUGAUCCAAAAGUACAAGAAAAUAUAACAGCGUCGAGUACAAGUACGGGAAGACAUUUGUGACCACCACGUGGCACUUAAAGACUGUUCUUGUGAUAUGGGUUAAACAAUCUGUAAGAAGAUCCUUUCGGUGCAAAGUUUAUCAAAUAUGCAACAGCUCUCACGCUCCAAACAUGGCUUUUUCAAAAGCGAUAUUCUAGUAUUCAAAUUUAUUAAAUAGACCCCAUGAUCAAAAUAUAUUAGAAAACACACUGCGUCCAAGUACGUGGAGAUACUUCACAGCAGCUGCAUUGUAUAAAAAAAACAUCGUUAUGAAGCUUAGACCAUAAACAAUGAUAAACAAAAUAUCCAUUACAAGCUAACUUUAUGUACUUUCAUAAAUCUUGGAUGAUAAACAGAAAACUCACGGACAAUGACGCGGCCGGGGAUCGAACCCACGACCUCCCACUCUCGAUGCGGACGCUCUACCACUAGGCUACCGAGGCGGUAUCAUAAUAUCUAAUGAGUAAUUAUGAUCAGUAAUUCAGAUGAAAUUGAAUCAAAUUUCAAGAGCACUUCAUGUGAAACGAGAUUGCAGUGUGAUAUCGAAAAUUCUUGAACUACUUUAGUAUCAAAUUCUCUGUAUUUACUGAUUUCAACUUAAGAUUUACUAAUGUCAUGUUUACUUGUCUGAUAUCUAAACUAAAAUACAGAAUAACCUGUAUCUUUAUCCUUCGCAUGAAGAUAUUGUAAAUGAAAGAAAAACACACAAAAGAAAACUAAAAGAAAAAAAACUGCAGCCAUGAAAAAGUAAUUACUAACUUGGUCUUGUUGAACCUUUUAGGUAAUGAACCAUGUAACACCCAUCAGGACACCAGACCAGAUAGAAAAACAUACUGUACCCUAGGUAUACCAUAAGAACCACGAUCAUGAACGGGAAAAUGUACUUACCCAUUUCUCACCUAAAACGCGCAGUUCGGUAAUUUAUCUUCCAUCGUGCACCAGUCACAUUGUCUCAGUAUUUCAUUUCACAGAGACACCAUAUAGUUUAUGCUUUCGUCAACGUUACAAUUUUUUUUUUUUAAAAAAUGGAUGAAUUCCCCUCAUUUUAUGUAAUGUUAGUUGCACAAAUGUUACAAUAGUAUUUCAUUAAGUAGUAUAAAUGAAUUCCUGUGUAUUUUUACAAUAAUAUUCUAAUACUCAUGUCAGAGAAACAUUAACAAGGCAUAUUGCCGUUUUAUCAUUUGAUUUACCAUAGUUUACCGUUCAGAUGCUUAGUAUUUAACCAAUUCCUUUGCAUCUGAACUCUGAACCGUGGUAAAUCAGACAAUAAACCACGCAAACGUAUUGAUUAAUUUGUAUUUUUGUUUGCCUCAUAUUCCUAAAUAUUGCUUGGGAAAGUCACAAAACACAGGACCAUUUAUCCUAAGUGCAUUUAACUAGAUAAAUAUUUUGGCAACAUUCAUAAAAUGUUUCUAUUCUAGGUCAACAUUCAAUUUGGAUUUUUGGAUUUUUUUUCUGAAAAUUUAAUUCUUUUUAAUCUUGUAAAAAUGUGAGAUAGACACUAAAUCAUUAUAUUAGGCCAUCUUUUUUAUUAUACAAAUUCAAGUUAACAGCACGUCUCUUUAUGAACGAAGUGUUGAAGAGAGUAUUAUGUACACGAUGAAGUCUCUCACAAUGUAGCAAUACACAAGAACCUGACAACGCUGAUAAUUUUAGAAUUGCAACGGUAUUUUACGACACUGUAAUUGAAUCGCACAUUGUCUGUCCCAGAUGAUCAUUGACAUUUAAAAUAAUUGAGUGUUGUAAAUCUAGCAUAUUUGAUUGAUAUUUUAGUAUUAUGAUCAUAAUAUAAAUAAACAAUAAAUGAAAAUAUAAAAUUUCCAUCGUACCAUUCAAUAAUAAUAUUAUAAUACGAUCAAAAAAUAUAUCUUAUAUACGUAUUUGUCACGAUAUAUUUUAACAAGUAUAUUUUUGUCUCUCUGUGAAAUUUAACAUUUUUCUGUUGUUUUUUUUCAUGCUUACAGUUGAAAAUAAGACCCAUAUCUCACUAGAAAAUACGGGUCUAUAUUAUAGUGUGCCAACUCUAGUAUUAUGUGCAGUGAUUCGGAAUGAUGGCUUCCGGUCCUCCACAUCAAAACAAAGCCAUCUUGUUUUUGAACAACAACUACCAGACAACGACAUUUAUGAAAGAGUAUCAUCAUUCAGUAAUCAAUAUAUGAGACCGUCACGUCUCUAUUUACAAGACAUUUUUUAGAACGGAACCGUUUCAUAACGGAAAUUGACAUAGCGUUUGUCAGGAGUUAGCUUUAAGCACUUGGAUCUUGGCAAACAUAGCUGGGUAAGGGCGUAACGGAAAACUUUUCAGACAUUAUCACAAUAAUAGUGACACAAAAGUAUCGUUAGAAUCCAUCUUAGGGUCCCCUGGCGCCAGUUUUGUCGUCAAACAGGUGCUAAAUGCUCAGGAUGACCGACAUAUUGACAGUUAAUUCAAAGAAAAAGUAAGGAAUCGGUUUAAAACAAUUCUCUUUGUUGGACUUAUGCAUUGUCAUAGAAAAUUAGAGAUUUUUUUAUAUCUCUUGUCAUAUAUGAUUCACGCUCAGAUGCAUAUAUUUCAUUUUUCUUUUCAAUCUGAUAUUCUAAGAAUAUAAAAAACAACUUCGGUCUCAUUUCAUUAAAAAUGUGCCAGAGAAUGUUGUUGAUAAACAGGAACAGAAUAGAUCAUACGUUAUAUUCUAGCAAUGUCAUAUACGUUCCUGUUGGGCCGUUGUUCUUGUCUUGAACAUAACGAAAAAAUGAGAAAAUAUGACUAUGUGCACAUCACAACAUAUCCCUUUUCGAUACAGAAAGCUAUAUCAUAACAAUCUAGAUGUCAGGAGUUAUGAGAAGAAGAAAUUUUUAUGUUAAAGGGAGAUACAUGUAAGGCAGUUAUCCAAGUAGAGAGUAGGCAUAAUUACAUGAUAAGAAAGGCACUACUGUCGAUGAACGUAAACGGCCAGGAUCAUAAAGGUAGGAAAUCAAAAACUUCAUUCAACAAUACUUUCUACCAUGUGAGUCAAAUAUUAGAAAACAAUAUACUGAAAAUAGAAAUUAAUAUAUCCUAUUUUCAUAGCCAAAUAUUGUGGCAGCCACAUUAUGUACAAAGUGAUUAUAUAUGUUCCUUUUAACAAACAGAAUGUCAUAGCUGUGGGUUAUGUUUCCCUCAUAUAUGAAAACAAUGUCUUAAUUAAUUCUAAAGAGUGUUUAACCAAUUAAAAACUAAAAGUGACGUAUCUCCUUACACAUGCUCUACACUCAUCCUAAAAUAAUUUUUCAUUAGAUAUUGAUUUUCAUUACAUGUGUUAUAUCAGAGUGAAAUAUAUCUGGUAUUUUUUUACAAUGAAAAAUAUCAAAUACAUUUUGCACUGGUAAGUAAAUAUAAAAUGAAAACAUUUUGUCAAAAUAUGAAAUAAAAAGAAAAGUUAUUUGUUUUACCUGUAGGAUAAAUUAUAUAUCUUUCACUCAUAAACAUCAUAUCUGACAUUUUCGUCCGUGGCUAUGCCACUCGUAAAGAUAUUGCUGCUGCUGCUCUUCCGUGGAUAUAGUAUCUCAAAAAGCAUUCACCGUUUACCAUUAAAAUAAUUGGUCAUUGAAGUUGUCAGGUUGUAGAGUUCUGACUAUGUAAUAUGUAAUGUAAGACCAUAGCAUCAGCGUAGUUAUCAUAACCUUAAAGAUGAACAAUGAUUUAUUGGCAUUAACUAGGAUUUUGUGAUGACUAUGUUGUGACUGUUUGGAAAAAUAAACAUAUUGUGAACGAACGAGACACUUGGCAGGAUAAACUGCAAAAUUGACAAGAUAUGUUUCAAGUUUGAUGUUUACAAACAUUUCAUAAAAGUGCAUGAUUGUAAUGAUUAUGUUAUCAUGUGUGUGGAAAACAUCCAUACUGUGAACAGAAUAAAACACAUUGCAUGAAAAACUGCAACAUCGUAAACAUCUGUUUCAGUCGUGACACAUUUCAUAAAGAUGCAUGAUCUGUAUCACGUGUUAUAAUAAGUGUAAUUUUCAAGGUCAUCUUCUCAGGAAAUAUCUAAUGGAGAUAUUUUAAGGCGUUGGAUGGUUUCAAGGUUUUGAGAAUCGUAAAGUCAAGUUAAAUUUCAAAUUGAUUUAUUUCGAAACUUACUUGUUUAUUUUUUAUGAAAAUAUUUGAUUUGCAACAAUGAAUACGAAUGUAAUGCGCACAAAGCAAAGUUUACAUAUUGUUCAUCUAUUGAUUUUCAGUAUUUUUCUCUGAGAACACUAAUUUUUAGCAUCUCCAUUACCUGGAUUUUUAUAAACUGCUAGUUUCUAUUUUCUAAAUACCACUGCAUUGUAAAUAACCGUUGUCCGUGAUCAUCCUCACGCAGCGCAAUAAUAUAAUUAUAGUAAAAUGAUCAGAGAAGAAACAAAAUGUUUCCUGAACCUGGUUUGUUUACAUGGGAAAUAUGUCAUUGAGAUGCAGACGAUAAGUUUAUAUUUGAAUAUAUAGACGUCAGCAACAGUUACUUAAGUAUUUCGCUGUCGUUUGUAAAUUUAAGCCGACGAAUAACCUUCCUUGCCGAUUUCGUUGAAUAUUUCUGUAACCUUUAGAAGACUGAAACAGAUAUUGUGACAUCUUGAUAUAUUUCUAUAACAUUAGACUUGUGUAAAAUGGAAUUAUUUGUAAUUAUAAAAAUGUUGCCGUUAUCAUUAUACAUAUGUUUUCUGUCAAACGGACCUAUUGCGUUUGCUUUCCGGCGAAAGGAUAUGCCUGAAAAUGUCGUCAAAUAUAUAAUAUGUAAGGAACCCUGGUGUGAACAGUACAGCCCCUCGGAAGUAGCAAAGAUGUUUCCAGGCGUGUUUCUCACUAAAGAGAAAUACAUUAUUCAAAAGAGCAUAUACAAUGAAACAAGGGCAAACUAUCUGCGUAAUGAAGGGGUCAAUGACGUAAACAUUAUUAUUGGCCUCGGAGGAGAUGGAGAUUCCUGCUGCGCCACGACCUACAAGGCACAUAUAAACUCAAGCCUGAGCAAUAUCGAGGGAACAGAAAGGUCUAUCGUACACAUGACAAGUGUUGAACCGCCAAUGUAUCAGUUUAUACCACAUGCUUACUGCGAAACUACCACAAGUGGGGGAUGUAUUGGAAUAUGCGUCCUUGAGUAUGUGACAUUAACGUUCCUCGUGUACGACCCUAUGGCCAAAAUCAUGAUGUUCGACCAGUUCCUGCUACCCGGAUAUUGCUCUUGUAAACGCGUUCUUCAAUAAGUAUACCUAAAAUAGGAGAGAUAGUAUGCCUUCCGGGUAUUUAUCAGGAAUACUGAAAUGAAGAAUUAAACUUUUGAUGAUGUUUUAUGUGAAUGUUUGCCUUAACUUCAGUUUUGAGAAUGAAUUCGUAUUCAUUUUUUAUAUAGUUAACUUAAAACAUGGUGACUUUAUCGCGCCGUGAUCUGCCAUAUUGUUUAAAUGUUACUGCAUAUAACUAUAAGUCUUGUUAAAUGACGGAGAUCAGAAGUAUUUUGUAAAUAAAAUUUCAAAAACAAUA
rnacentral:misc_RNA from 1 species